UCCUAUUGAAAAUCCCACCAGACCUAGUGGUAGUGAUGGACAGACAUCAGGGCAAUCAUCCACAGGGCAAAUGGCCCUUGCCUUAUCUAAACAAAAGGGCAUAUAAGUUUUUCAUUAGUCUGAUAAAGAGCAAAGAGAGGGGAUUAGGCAACUAUUAGCAUUACCACAGUCAAACCGAAUGAGUGAACAGCAUCCGCAGGGUGAACAACAGGGAGAACAU
rnacentral:lncRNA from 1 species